rnacentral:lncRNA from 1 species
GCAGGCUCGGUUUUACUUAAUAAGUCCAAAAAAUUUUAAUAUUUCAGUUUCGACUCCGUUUGGUCACCGAAAACUGUACCGAACUGUAAUCUUUAUCAGAUAGCUUUCGGAUUCUAUUUCUCUCUUUACAGGUGUUAGAAUGGUAUGAAACUUUAAAUCUAGCCUCAUAAAAAUAUUUCUGACUUAUCCUCCAAUUUUCAUAAUUUUCUGAGACUGUGCAUUUUCUGCUAAUUUAUCGGUCCCGUUUCCAACAGAAAAUUCUAAAUCUUCUGUUUUCAUUCCGAUUUCAGCACAAGUNACAGAAAAUUCUAAAUCUUCUGUUUUCAUUCCGAUUUCAGCACAAGUCAUUUCUGACUUAUAUUUUACUUCUCUAAAUUCAAUAAAAAUAGCUUCUCACACUAUUUUCAUUUAUUUUUAUUUUUAUACCAAAAUUUGGUAUGUUACA